AUUGAACGCUGGCGGCAUGCCUUACACAUGCAAGUCGAACGGCAGCAUGAUCUAGCUUGCUAGAUUGAUGGCGAGUGGCGAACGGGUGAGUAAUACAUCGGAACGUGCCCUGUAGUGGGGGAUAACUAGUCGAAAGAUUAGCUAAUACCGCAUACGACCUGAGGGUGAAAGUGGGGGACCGCAAGGCCUCAUGCUAUAGGAGCGGCCGAUGUCCGAUUAGCUAGUUGGUGAGGUAAAGGCUCACCAAGGCGACGAUCAGUAGCUGGUCUGAGAGGACGAUCAGCCACACUGGGACUGAGGCACGGCCCAGACUCCUACGGGAGGCAGCAGUGGGGAAUUUUGGACAAUGGGCGAAAGCCUGAUCCAGCAAUGCCGCGUGUGUGAAGAAGGCCUUCGGGUUGUAAAGCACUUUUGUCCGGAAAGAAAUGGCUCUGGUUAAUACCUGGGGUCGAUGACGGUACCGGAAGAAUAAGGACCGGCUAACUACGUG
rnacentral:rRNA from 1 species